rnacentral:lncRNA from 1 species
GGGUUCUAAGUUUGUUCACAUGACGACUAUGUUAUCAAUAGCGCGCUAUAGUGGUGCUAUAGCGGCGCUAUAGUGUUUUGCGGUGUUAUUGAACCGCUAUUUUUAAAUAGCGUUUACAAAUAGCGGUGACGCUAUUAGCGGUGCUAUUCACCACUAUUUACCGCGAACCUCAUCAACGCUAUAGCGACGCUAUACCCGCUUUUACAAUUUCAUACAUAUUGGGAUACUUUGACAAGGAAAAAAAAUGAUUGUGUGUUAUUUCAAUAUUAAAUCUUUAUUUUUCUAACUAGUCAACUACAAUUUUUGUCUUAAUAAGUCCAAAUAAUAAAUAUAAUUAAUUACAAACUACAAAGCAACACUGGAAAACUUCCCUUUAUCGUCUAUUUCAGUACUUAGAAACCACGAACGACUUGAGUUACGAUGACAUUUUGACACUUUUUAGUUUCCAUAUUACUAUAUUAGAAUAUUAUAUAUACAUUAUGUUAUGCUUUUUUAUGAUAUUAAGUCUAUAUAGUAUUAAUAAUUUAAUAUAUAAAUUUUGUAUAAAUAUAUAAUAGAAAUUAUACAUAAUAAUAAAAAACCGCUAUACCACUGCUAUACCACCGCGAUAACCGCGAUUUCAAAUAGCGGCAUGUGACCGCUAUUGAAAUACUACCGCGAUAAUUGCUUAGCAUGACGAUGCGAUUUCUCGUAGGCUUAGGCAGUUCUCCGUCCUGAAGUUCAUAUUAGAAUUCAUACCUGGUUUCACAAUCACUUUUUCGUGUAUACGAGUCGUAUAUAAUUAAGAUUGAAAAGGUAGUCGAAUAACUGAUUCUUCUUUAAGCUCACAUCCCCUGGGGGAAAAAGAAGUUAAAGUGGAAUCAUCAAUUCUAAACCUGUAGAACCUUGAUUAUAUAUCACUCUUAUGCAUACAUUCCUUAGUGAUAGAUUAAUCGUAUGAAUCCUUGGAUUGAACUUGACGUACU